rnacentral:lncRNA from 1 species
AAAGAACAGAGUCUUACCACAUCUCAUAACCCAGAGUACUGACCAGGCAGGAGGUGGGCACAUUAAUGAGAAAUGAUGGUUCCUGAGUUGUGGCAAAAAGCCUCAUAGAGCAGUGUUGCACAGCUGAUGGUAAAUGUUGAUUACAGAGCAGGUUUUGAGUCCAGGGUUGCUUGUACCAGUGAUCAGUGUUCCCUUCUGUUUUCAAUAGGAAGUGACAAAUGUUCUGGGCCCAGAUGAACACGUGCAGAAGAGCCAGAGGGUGCAUUUGGUUCUGUUUAAUCCUAGUGGAGUGCUAGGUUUCAUUGUCUCCAGUAUGGAUGUCCUGGAUGCAUUUCUCUCAGGAGAUUUUUCAUCAGCUCAGUUGGUGCAGGAAGGUCAUCGAGUCCAGAGGGCUUUCUUCAAAGAUAUCCAUGCCUUGCCCCUUGUCCCUAACCCAGUGGUGUGUUUGGAAGCAGGAGACACAAUCCUUUUCCAGCUUAGCAUCAAUUUUCACAAUCGUGCAUCCAGCCACUACCCUGUUUAUCAGAAGCAACAUCUUUAUAACAGCAACCCUAGCUGGGAUUAUGGACCCUUCCGAAGGCUGGACCACCUCAUCCAGGAGACUCACCUCAACAUCUCCUGGUUUGCCCAUGUUUUCCUGGAGUCUGGGACAUAUGUAUUCAGGGAUAGGACCAUUCAGGAGCACUUCUUGAUUGUGACUGUGAACGAAGCAAAUGUGGGCUGUGACCCCAGAGAUGUGUCCUUCCAGCCCUCUUCUCUGUUCCAGCUGGCCAGACAUGGGAUUUUGAAGCAGCAGGAACUGAACUUGGCUCCUGACUGGGCUUCCAUUAUAGCGGUGCUCUUCAUUCUGGGCUUCCUAAUUGUGCUGCUGACAACCCUGGCUAUUGUGCUGCAGCCCACUGUCCCUGUCCUUAGUCCCCUGAGGAGCUGGAAGCCACGAUGGAGGAGCCUGGGUGAGCCACACAUCCCACCAGAGUAUGUCCUUCUUAAAGAAAGCCUUCUGUACUAUCAGAUGCUUGGUCCUCGUGGUUCUGGAGGAGAUGCUGCCUUUGGAGAAAAAGGAGCUGUGCAUAACGAAGAAGGAUGUUGUGCAGUGAGAGACCUGGAGGAUUUCAGCGUUCGCACUCUGUACGAUAAGUUGGAAGAUCAGAAUUUGCACCUGGCAUCUCAGCUGGCAAAGCACAGGAGGGAUGUGUUGGUGUUUUACAAUGGAAUCAGCCAGCAGAUUCAAGGUCUCAUGGUCAGUGUGAAGAAAGAACUGUGGGAAAGGGGGUCUUGA